rnacentral:lncRNA from 1 species
CACACCUGGCCUUAUCCUGGUAUUUUUAAUGGGGAAGACAGGAAUCUGUCUUCAUACCAUUUGUCCUUCAUACCCUUUGUAAACGGAGGGUAACAGUUUACCCUAUUUUUUAAUCCAUUCCAAGGAGCUUAUUGACUUAAAUGCUUUUGAUACUAAGUUUAGAGCAAAAGAGAAAGAGAAGGCCUGUUUGUUUUUUGUAGCAGGAGGAAAUAGUGGCAGCAGCUAAUAAUCCUAAUCCCCCACUCUUGGUACCAAGGAAUGCUUUUCUGACAUUGCAUUACCUCUUGGGAUUGAUAGUUUAUGUGGAUAGGAUCAUGGCGACUCUGGGUGAUGCACUGAU